ensembl:lncRNA
GACAGAACGUUCUGUAAUAUUCAUAACAAUAUCAAAUCUAUAUUUAUGUAACACAGCAGGUCAUUCUUAUAUACUUUUGCUUGUAUGUAUUUUGAACGCGCUUCAUUGCGUGCUCACGUAUAUCACCUUCACUCGUGCAGCGUGGACGGAGUCUCGUACCUGUGCGCCAUGUUUGGGCAGUUUGGAUGCAAACAAAACAAUGGAUUAUUUACCAAGAUAUAUGGAUGUAUGAACUCAUUUCGAUAAAACACUUCUGGUCUACUCUAGAGUUUUUACUCUGCAGAAAACUGACAAGCAACCCAACCCACCAACAGACGAGGAAGAUGAGGAUGAUAAUCACAGUGCUCCAGCAUAUACAAAGAGAAAGGUUUGUUAGUAUUUUUACCUUCCACAUUCUUAUUUUUGUUAAUGCAGUUGCAAUAAGAAAACUUAUUUUUUCCCCCAUAUUUCUUAAAGUAUGUAAGAGUGAAGAUUUGUUUAAGUGGGUUGUUGUUUUCAAAUAACCUCAACUAAAUGCAUUAGCUAGUUUCAGCUAUUUUUAUGAUGAGAAUGUCCUGUAGUCAUUUAUGCAUCAGUUUGUCUGAGAUCAUCUCUGUCCUGCUUUUACAGAUGCUAAAUAUAAGCAGACUAUACAUGUACAGAUGCUCAUCUCUGCCAAAACUCACGUGACUACAACGCAAACACAGCAUCACAGUUCAUGCUUCUUCACUCAGGAUGUAAAGACACACAGGAGUAACUGAUUAUUUCUCUUAACAUGCUACAGAUUUCUUUUAAUAUUUCUAUGUUUUGUAGUAACCAACAGAAGCUGAAGGAAUGGCAGACAUUACUCAGACACCUGUGAACACUGAGCAGUGGUUGGAGUCCAAGACAGUGAAAUCAUCUUUAUUAUACUUCUGACUGAACUAGCAAGGUGCUUUGGGGACCAUGAGAAAGUAAGUAGUAAAAUGUUUGCAUUGACCAUUUCACCGUGUUAUUUUUUUGUAGUAACUGCAGGGAAUAUUAAUUGAAGAUACCUGAUCAAAAGCAAGCUUUGGAUCUACUGAAUGUGUAUUUUUCAAGCAUUUUAUUGCAGGGUUCACUGUUAUAUUUCUGCAUAGUGAUGACUGGUGAAAAGUGUUUAUUAAUUUACUUCAGUCUAUAGUUAACCAGAAUUCUGUCUUUUACGUUUCACCAAACCUCUGACUUUUGUUUCUGCAGAACUCAAAAGAAGAUACUUUGAAGAAUGCUGGUGAUCAAACCCAACAAGUUUGUCAGGUAUGGACAGUACGAAGGGGACAAAAUGAUUUCCAUAUUUUGGGUGAACUCUCUUUAAUUAGCAUGCUACACACUAAAUAUUAAUCAUGCUGGGCACAGCCAUACAUUUAAAAAAAUGCAAAUUUCAAACAUUUAAGGAACAUUCACUAAUAACAUUUUCAUAACGUUUUCAAGAUGAUAGCAUGGAAUGUUUCUAUAACGUUCACAUAGACCAAGAAAAAAACGUUCCUAAUGCAUUAAAAAAAUGCACAUUUCAAACAUUUAACGAACAUUCACUAAUAACAUUUUCAUAACGUUUUCAAGAUGAUAGAAUGGAAUAUUUCUAUAAUGUUCACAUAAACCGAGAAAUAACGUUCCUAAUACAUUAAAAAAAUGCACAUUUCAAACAUUUAACGAACAUUCACUAAUAACAUUUUCAUAACGUUUUCAAGAUGAUAGAAUGGAAUAUUUCUAUAAUGUUCACAUAAACCGAGAAAUAACGUUCCUAAUACAUUAAAAAAAUGCACAUUUCAAACAUUUAACGAACAUUCACUAAUAACAUUUUCAUAACGUUUUCAAGAUGAUAGAAUGAAAUGUUUCUAUAAUGUUCACAUCAACCAAGAAAAAACGUUCCUAAUACAUUAAAAAAAUGCACAUUUCAAACAUUUAACGAACAUUAACUAAUAACAUUUUCAUAACGUUUUCAAGAUUAUAGAAUGGAAUGUUUCUAUAACGUUCACACAAACCCAGAAAAAACGUUCCUAAUACAUUAAGAAAAUUCACAUUUCAAACAUUUAACGAACAUUCACUUAUAACAUUUUCAUAACGUUUUCAAGAUGAUAGAAUGAAAUGUUUCUAUAAUGUUCACAUCAACCAAGAAAAAACGUUCCUAAUACAUUAAAAAAAUGCACAUUUCAAACAUUUAACGAACAUUAACUAAUAACAUUUUCAUAACGUUUUCAAGAUUAUAGAAUGGAAUGUUUCUAUAACGUUCACACAAACCCAGAAAAAACGUUCCUAAUACAUUAAGAAAAUUCACAUUUCAAACAUUUAACGAACAUUCACUUAUAACAUUUUCAUAACGUUUUCAAGAUGAUAGAAUGGAAUGUUUCUAUAACGUUCACAUAAACCAAGAAAAAACGUUCCUAAUACAUUAAAAAAAUGCACAUUUCAAACAUUUAACGAACAUUAACUAAUAACAUUUUCAUAACGUUUUCAAGAUUAUAGAAUGGAAUGUUUCUAUAACGUUCACACAAACCCAGAAAAAACGUUCCUAAUACAUUAAGAAAAUUCACAUUUCAAACAUUUAACGAACAUUCACUUAUAACAUUUUCAUAACGUUUUCAAGAUGAUAGAAUGGAAUGUUUCUAUAAUGUUCACAUAAACCUAGAAAAAACUUUCCUAAUACAUAAAAAAAUGCUAAUUUUUAACAUUUAAAGAACAUUCAGUAAUGAAGUUUUCGUUAUGUUUUUAAAAUGGUAGGAUGGAAUGUUCCUGUAAUGUUCGCAGAAACCCCACAAAAAAUGUUCUCAAUACAUUAAAAAAACUUGCCGUUCUCAACGUGUACAAAACAUUCUGAAAUAACGUUUUCAUAACUUAAGGGAAAUGUUAGUAAAACGUUCUGACAACUCAUUUUUGUUAGCUGGGUUAAUGUUGAACUGAGUCCCAAUCCAUUGACAGCUGUUUUUGGUAUUCUACCAUACACCACUUACUCUAGUCCCAUUGCUCAAGUGGUUGCUUUUACCACUCUGAUAGCUAGAAGGAACAUUCUCCUUAAAUGGAGAUGUGCCACUUCCCCUACUCACAAUAGAUGGAUACAAGACAUUUUUUAAUAUUAAAUUGGAGAAAUUAAGGUUUAUGCUUUAAGAUUCCCUUAAAGCCUUCAGUAGUACCUGGAAUCCCUUCUUGAACUUCAUUAAAGGCCUGCUUUGUCCCUCUGAUACAGAUUCAGCUAAUAAUACUUAAGAAACGCCUCUCUUAGUACAUUCCAGAAUGAUAAUUAUGAGAAAAUAUUAUACAUCCGUGAGGUUUUAUUUAUUUUUUUGUUUGUUUGUUUGUUUUUGGGGUUUUUUUCCUCCCUGGGUAGGGAUGGUUAAGGUUUGGGGUUUGAUACAGUAAAGACAUUUUGUUGUAUAUUGAUCAGUUUGAUGUAAGUUUAUUUUACGCUGUCCUGACAAAAUGCCAAUAAAAAAGAUUGGAAAUAAAAUGAUGUUGAAAAG